rnacentral:rRNA from 1 species
GUUCGCCUACGGGGGGCAGCAGUAGGGAAUUUUCGUCAAUGGGCGCAAGCCUGAACGAGCGAUGCCGCGUGAGUGAAGAAGGCCUUCGGGUCGUAAAGCUCUGUUGCGGGGGAAAAAAGGCAGCAUCAGGAAAUGGGUGCGGACUGAUGGUGCCCCGCCAGAAAGUCACGGCUAACUACGUGCCAGCAGCCGCGGUAAUACGUCGGUGGCGAGCGUUAUCCGGCAUGAUUGGGCGUAAAGGGUGCGCAGGCGGUCCUGCAAGUCUGGAGGUAAACGCAUG